UAAAUACUCGUAUAUUUUAAUAUAAUUAAAAGCAUUUAGUCCGGCUACUUAUAAAGGUAAUUAAUCCCAGUAUAUAUAAAUAUACUAAAUAUUAUUUCCUAUUUAUAAAUUAGAAUAUUUUUAACAAAUUUUAAAUAUUAUUAUUAAUUUCCGAAACAACGAAGAUAAAAGGGAAAUUUUCUAGUAUAAAUAACCGAAAGCAUAAUUUUUUGGUUGAAAUUUGUAAAUUUAAUAGAGAAAGUAAAACUUUAUCUUAUAUUAGUUAAUAUAUAAAGUUUUUCAUAUUUUUAACUUUAUUAAUUAUUAUUAAUAUUAUUAUUAUUCCCUGGUAAAUUUGAAAGAUUAACCCAAAUACGCGGUAUAUUAUAAGUUUUCAAUUGUAGAAAUAUUGCAUUUCGUUUCCAGUUAUUCGUUAAACAAAUCUUUUUACCGGAAAAUAUAAUAUUAAUUAGAUAAUUUAUUUAAUAACUACGUUAUAAAAAUAAUCGAACUUUUAACCAUCUCCAAAUCAAUAUAACCGGACGGAACUUUUCUCAUUGAAAACCAAAUUAAUAAAUAAAAUAAUAUUAUAAUAAUUAUACUAACAAUUUGAAUUCUUCAAAACUUAUUACCCAUAAGAAAACAAUUAUUAUUUAUAUCGAUAUUAAAUUUACGCGUUCAAAUAAUAAUAUUAAUAAUUUGGGUUAUAUAUUAGGGAUUAAAUGCUUUUCCGCACUAUAAAACUUUUUCCAGUUAUUUGGUUUGGCCCAUCAAGAAAUUUAAAUAAAAUAUAAUAAUUGUUAUAUUCGCGGAUUUGUUAUCCGUUUUGUUAACAACGUACGUUUAUAAUAUUGCGUAAAAUAUUAAAUAAUUUGUAACGAUAGCCGUCCGCGGAGCGUCUGCUAUAUAUAUUUUAAUUUAAUCCUAAUAAUAUUUAACGUAGAAAUAAAGAACGUUUGUAAUAAUUUCUCAGACGUUUGCGAAACCGCCGGGACGAAAUUAGUAAAAACGCAAAUUAAUACGAAAAAUAUCCGUUUAAAUUUACCAUGGUUUAAUAAUAUUAAUAAUGGAGAUAUUAUAUAUAAAGUACUAUCAAAUAAUUAUUAAGUUUACCAGUAUUGUUUAAUUUUAAAAAAUAUAUAUAUUGUUACAAUCAAAUAGAAAUUAAAUAACGAAUUGAAAAUUAUAAUUAUAAUUAUAUAUUUUGGUAAAAUAUAUCCAUUAUAAAAAAAAGUUAUAAUUAUUAUAACAAGUAGUUAAAAAAUAUAAGUAAUAUUUACUUAUAAAUUAAUAACAAAACCAAUAGCCCCCGGACAAAAUAUUAGGAAAAUCCUAAUUUGACUAUAAAUAAUUGCGGUUGAUUUUUAAAUAGUCGAAGUUUAUUUUACUAUUAAAUUCCCAAUUAUUAACGGAAGAUUAUUUGUUAGGAAAUUGCAAUUGAUAAAUAAUAAUUAAGUAAUUGCGUUAGAAUAAAAAAUAUACCUUGACCAGGAAUAACUUUUAAUUAAAAUUGAAAUUUAUGCGUAAUAAAUUAGUAGAAUGUCGAAAAUUUAUUCCCUAAUAUUUUCGAGCAACCUCUUACUAAAAGAGUUAUUUUCGGCCAAAUUACUUCCAAUUACUAAUUAAAUAAAUUUGUAUAAAAUUAUAAAUAUUAGUUUGGUAUUUGUUUAUAAAAUAUCUUGGAUAUAGUUUUAUAAUAUCAGGUUUUACCUGGGUAAUAAUAAAAUAAUAGCAACAGUUUUUAUUAUAUAAAGUGUUAGUAAUAUUUUCUAAUAUUAGCAGGUUUAACAAUUAUAUUUGGAUUUAAUCCCCUUGUUUUUCUUAAUAGUCUAGUUUUAUCCGGAGCGAAACGUAACCAAAUAUUUAUAAUAUAUAUUACUAUUAUUUUAUUAUGAAGGAUUUGAUAAAAAACCGAUAGUUUUAUAACAAUUAUAAUUUAAUUUACCCGCUAGUAAAUAUUUUGAAUAAUAUUAGGUUUUUAUUAAAUACGAAUUAUAUAAAAUGAUAAUGUUAUUGGCAAUUGUUAAAUAAUUAACGUUUUUAAAUAAUAUAAUAAUUACUCGACGUUAAAUUUUGAAAGAUUGCGGUAACCGCCCCCAAAUUCGCUAAGACUUUCUUUAUUAACGACGAUAAUUUUACCGGAAUAAAAAACCAAAUUAAUAAAAUAAUAGCAGGUCCAGUAUUAGUUAUCCAUAUUUAAUAUUGAGAAAGGAAUUACAAAUUAUUAUAUUUAAUUAUAAUUUAAUAUUAAAAAUCAAUUUAAAUCACUCAGGUAACUUAAUUUAAUUUGAUUUCUUUUAACCCUGACAAUAUUUAAACCAUUAUAUAUAUAAAGUCCCGCAUUUGCGGGUUUGAAUUUUACAUUUGCAUAUUAGAAAUUAUAAUCGGCUAUUAUUUUCCACAAAUAAAAUCGAAUAAUAAUAAAAAUAAUGGGAAUUAUAACGGUUUAAUAUUUGUCGGAAAUCCCUUUAUAUUGGGGAAACUUAUAUUAUCCUGGCAAAUAAAAAAAAGUAGUUAAUAAUUAAUAUCAGACAGUUAUAUUUUUGAAAAUAAAUAUAAUAUCCCCAGUCCAAAAUAUAUUUGGUAAAGUUGAAAUCUUGUACAAAACGGGUAUUUUAUUACCUGUACUUAGUUUACCGGGACUAUUAGCUUUAUAAUACGCCAAAAGUCCGGAUAUUUUUAACAUUGAAAAUGUCAGUUAGAUAAUAAAAGUUAUAAUUGUUAUUAUAAAUUGAAAAACCGUUGAAAACAAUUCUAAUUGUAAUUAUUAUUAAAAUAAAGUAAAGAAUAUUACGCAAAUUGCUAGAAAAUAUAAUAAUUACUAUAAUUUAUAAGCAAAUAGGCGAAACUCUUAUUUGAAAUAUUUGUAAUUUAUAUUAAGACACUGGUUAAUUUAUAACGGAGGAUAAUUAUAAUAUUAUUAAAAUCUAAGAAAUUACUAUCAAAAUUGGGCCGUUAUAUGGUAUUUCAACCGUAGUAAUCCCGACAAUUAACUAAAAACGUUCGGAUAUUUGAGCGAUGGGAGGUUCGUCCACAUUACAAAUAAUAUUGGUUCUAGAACUAGCGGUCCGGAAGUGGGCAGGGCCCUGAAAUGGUUAUUUCUCUUUUGCUCCAUUAACCUUUAUAACAAUCCAACCAAGUACCCGAUACAGACCAGAUUUGGUACGUAUGUAAAACCAAACAGCCGCUUUUUCAUAGUGUAGUAUAUAUAUUUGUAGCGCUAGUAAUAAUCGAUAUAUUAAGGAUAUUAUACAUUUGCUAUUUCUAUUAUUUAAAAUUCGAAUUAAGAUGCAGUAAAUACGGGGUAAAGCCCAUUAAGUAAAAUAAACUUCAAAUAGUAUCUGAAAUUUUAGCCUGGGCUGGUAAUAUAUUCGGUUGAUUUUAUACGAUUUUUUAAAAUAGAAACCAUAAAAACGUAUAUUAAACUAAAAUUUAAUUUAUAAUAUUUUUGGUUAAUAAAUAAAACAAUAAAAAAAUCGUACUAAUAAUAAAAUAAUAAAAGCAAAAUUACGGAUUUCUUUAAAUAUAUAUUUAAAAUCCUUUUAUUUUGUUAAAUAAAUGCGCAAAUUGCGCCAAUUCGGUGGAAAAUACUACUUAUAAUAUAUAUAUAUAUAACCGUUAUUUUCCGGAAAAAGAUUGACGCGAAUAUUAUUU
rnacentral:sRNA from 1 species